CAUAAAGGUUCCAGAUCCUUUGUUUACAUUCCUCAACAGUUCCCGCGACGCCAGGACUUGUGGUCAAGGGUCGGGAUCUGGUCAUUUACUCAGGAAUAACGACGUGUUUAGAUUGUGCAUAAUGAGAUUUAAAACAUCACUGCAAAAUAAACCGAAGCAUACAGAUCUAGUCUCCUGUGUAGGAUGGGUGUCUCCUGAUGAGGUUUAUUCUUGUGGAGAUGAUCAUCAGCUUCUCCAGUGGAAUUUAGUAUCAACUGAGACAACCAAAUUAUCAGAGUUGCCAUCUGAAUUGUACCCUCUGGACUUACACUGGCUUCCCAAGACAGCUGCACAAAAGACCAAAGUUGGGUCAGAAGUGUUUUUGAUGACAGCAGCUGAUGGGAAGUUUUACAUAGUUGGACGCAAUGGUCGUAUUGAAAAGUCAGUAGAAGCUCACCGUGGUGCAGUGCUGACUGGUCGCUGGAGCCACGAUGGAGCUGGUCUUGUUACAGCUGGUGAAGAUGGUUUGGUGAAAAUCUGGUCUCGAAGUGGAAUGUUACGAUCAACGCUUGCACAAGCAUCAGUUCCAGUGUAUGGUGCGGCCUGGGCCCCUGAUUCAGAUGCUGUUCUCUAUACAGCUGGUACAACCCUUAUUAUCAAACCACUAGCACCAAACUCUAAACCUAUCCAGUGGAAAGCUCAUGAGGGAAUAAUCUUGAAGGUGGCCUGGAACCCCAAUACUGGUAUGAUCCUGUCAGGAGGGGAAGACACUCGGUACCGUGUUUGGGAUAACUUUGGUCGCCAGCUGUACUCCUCUGCCCAACACCAUCAUCCUAUUACUGCUCUUGCUUGGUCACCUGAUGGCCAGCUUUUUGCAGUUGGCUCAUUUAACACACUUCGGUUGUGUGAUAAAGCUGGAUGGUGUCACUCACUGGAAAAACCCACAACAGGAAGUAUCUUCAAUCUUGCAUGGUCUAGUGAUGGCACACAAGUUGCUGGUGCUUGUGGUAAUGGUUUUGUUAUCUUUGCACAUGUCAUUGAAAACCACCUAGAAUGGAAGAAUUAUGAAGCAACUGUGACAAGCCGUAAAACAAUUGCACUACGUGAUGUCACGAAUGAAGCUUGGGAGAAACUAGAACUCAGAGAUCGCAUAAUUAAAGUUUCUUUAUCACAUGGCUAUAUGGUUAUAGUAACAUCAACUCAAGGUUAUAUAUAUUCCACACGCAACUGGAAUACUCCCUUCAUCUUUGAACUAAAAGAAUCGAAUGUCAGCCUCAUUGUUCAGGCUGAACGACAUUUCCUUUUAGUGGAUGGUGGAAGUGUGUAUGUUUACUCAUAUGAUGGGCGUGUGCUGUGUGCACCACGCUGGCCAGGAAUGAGGACAGAUGUACUGAAUAGUCGCACUGUAUCAUUAUCAAAUGAUACAUUGGCCAUUCGAGAUAAGACAGACGAGAAAAUGGUGCAUCUGUUUGAUGCUGGAACAGGUAAAGCUCUGAAUGAUGGCAAACCAUGGUCUCAUAAGUUAGAAAUCAUGGAAGUGGCCUUAGAUAAGGUUGGCACAGCCCAUGAGAGGCGCAUGGCGGCUGUUGAUCGUAAUCGAGACCUCUUUUUAGUCACUCUGCAGCGGGUAGGUACCAUGGGAAGAGCAGUCAAACUUGGUGGGAUGGUACAAUCUCUUUGUUGGAAUGAUGGAGCCAAUAUGCUUGCUGCUCUUCAGGACUCCAAGUUCACAGUGUGGUUUUACCCAGCAGUUGUGUUUGUUGAUCGUGAUCUACAGUCACAAACAAUGCUUGAGAAAGAUGCUGCUGAAUAUGGAAAAAAUGCUGUGAUUGACAGUUUUCUAGAUACAGUUGUGACAAUGCGGCGUGCAGAUGGUAGUUUGGUAACUACUAAUAUUUCCCCAUAUCCAGCAUUACUUCAAAACUAUGUUUCUACUAAACACUGGGAUGAUGCUGUUAGAUUAGCAAGAUUUGUUAAAGAUGAUAUUGUGUGGGCAUGUCUGGCAGCCAUGGCUACAGCCAAUAAAGAACUUAAUACAGCGGAAGUAGCAUAUGCAGCGAUUAAUGAAGCUGAAAAGGUGCAGUACAUUCAUUACAUUAAGGAAAUACCAAUAAAAGAGGCUCGAUCAGCAGAGAUGGCAUUACUGGGAGGCCAUGUUGGAGAUGCAGAAGUCCUCUUGGUUCAGUCUGGUCUUUUUUUCAGGGCCAUUAUGUUGAACCUUAACACUUACAAUUUUGAACGAGCUCUCCAGCUAGCCAUCAGGCACCGAACACAUGUUGAUACUGUAGUGGCUUACAGACAACGUUAUACGGCUCGAUUUAACAAGAAAGAAACCAGCAAACUGUUUUUGCAAUAUGAAAAGCAGGUUGAGAUUGACUGGAAGAUGAUAAAUGAGAAGAUUGAGUUGGAAUACCAGAAAGAGAGAGAGAAACCAACUUCAUCAACACCUAACUUUAAAGAAAUUUGAAUUUUGAGCUUCUGAGGUCAUUGAAAAAUCUAAUGCAGUGUAGAUGUAUUCAUGGAGUGGAGUUACCAUAUUCAUCUCUACAGAGUUUUGAAGAAACUUGGAUGAGUGUUGAGGAAAUUUAGAAGCAGUGGAUUAACUUAUUUGAGAGUUAGUCAUAAAAGUUAUUGGGAGUAUUGACUGGUCAGCAUACCUUGGAAAGCCUGUGUUCACCUGACAAAAUGGAAUACUGUAUUUUAAACUGCAAGAUGUUCCUAGAAUUCACCUUGAAGACUGAAAACAUUACCGGUAUUGGAGAAUUUUAUUUUAGUUUGACUGGGUAUUUACUGUGUUGCUGUAUGGUUUAGUACUGUAUUACAAAUGGGAUAUUUAACAAUACUGAAACUUAGCUUCCUACAGUAUGCCCUUAUUUUAUGUGUUGAAAUACUGUAAUGUAAUUAAACCAAGUUUAUUUUUUA
rnacentral:misc_RNA from 1 species